CGUACAACAGAGAGAAGCGAGACGGAGACGUUAAGCGAACCCAAAAAAGUAAGUCUCAGUUCGGAUUNAAGGCUGAAAUUCGCCUUCAUGAAGCCGGAAUUGCUAGUAAUGGCAGGUCAGCAUACUGCCGUGAAUACGUUCCCGGGCCUUGUACACACCGCCCGUCACACCAUGAGAGUUGGGAAUACCCGAAGCCUGUGAACUAACGAAAGAGGCAGCAGUCGAAGGUAGAAUCAAUGAUUGGGGUGAAGUCGUAACAAGGUAAC
rnacentral:rRNA from 1 species